rnacentral:pre_miRNA from 1 species
UUUUUCAACUUCCGUGGUGAGUUUGAACACUUGAACAUCCAAAUCAUCCGGGAGUUGGGAAAGA